UACGUAGGGGGCAAGCGUUGUCCGGAAUUAUUGGGCGUAAAGCGCGCGCAGGCGGUUCAUUAAGUCUGGUGUUUAAGGCUGGGGCUCAACCCUGGUUCGCACUGGAAACUGGUGGACUUGAGUGCAGAAGAGGAAAGUGGAAUUCCACGUGUAGCGGUGAAAUGCGUAGAGAUGUGGAGGAACACCAGUGGCGAAGGCGGCUUUCUGGUCUGUAACUGACGCUGAGGCGCGAAAGCGUGGGGAGCAAACAGG
rnacentral:rRNA from 1 species